rfam:Brachypodium distachyon strain Bd21 chromosome 5, whole genome shotgun sequence.
GCCAGGAAGUGGAAGAAAGAGAGAGCCUAAGAGCACUGGGAAUGGGAACAUGGAGGAAAGCCUUACUCGUCUGUUUUCACCUCGAGUGUUGGAGGUGCAAAUAUUCAGUUUGGUGUUUUCCUGAUGCCUCCCAUUCCUAUGGUUCUUGAGCACUCCUUCCUCUUCCUUUUGGCC